CCAACAAUAGAGGCCCAUUAACGUUUGGCCCUUCAAGUUACUGCAGCCCAAGCCUCAGUGGCAGGACGUCUGCCCAAUAUGUAAAAUAACGGAAUGAAUGGAUUCCUUGGAAACAAUGAUAACAAGACCUGGCUGAGCUAACUGUGACAGCAUGUGGUAAUUUUCCAGCCCGCUGGCCCUGUAAAGGAAACUGGAACACAAAGC
rnacentral:lncRNA from 1 species